rnacentral:rRNA from 1 species
GGAUGAACGCUAGCUACAGGCUUAACACAUGCAAGUCGAGGGGCAGCAUGGUCUUAGCUUGCUAAGGCCGAUGGCGACCGGCGCACGGGUGAGUAACACGUAUCCAACCUGCCGUCUACUCUUGGACAGCCUUCUGAAAGGAAGAUUAAUACAAGAUGGCAUCAUGAGUCCGCAUGUUCACAUGAUUAAAGGUAUUCCGGUAGACGAUGGGGAUGCGUUCCAUUAGAUAGUAGGCGGGGUAACGGCCCACCUAGUCUUCGAUGGAUAGGGGUUCUGAGAGGAAGGUCCCCCACAUUGGAACUGAGACACGGUCCAAACUCCUACGGGAGGCAGCAGUGAGGAAUAUUGGUCAAUGGGCGAGAGCCUGAACCAGCCAAGUAGCGUGAAGGAUGACUGCCCUAUGGGUUGUAAACUUCUUUUAUAAAGGAAUAAAGUCGGGUAUGCAUACCCGUUUGCAUGUACUUUAUGAAUAAGGAUCGGCUAACUCCGUGCCAGCAGCCGCGGUAAUACGGAGGAUCCGAGCGUUAUCCGGAUUUAUUGGGUUUAAAGGGAGCGUAGAUGGAUGUUUAAGUCAGUUGUGAAAGUUUGCGGCUCAACCGUAAAAUUGCAGUUGAUACUGGAUAUCUUGAGUGCAGUUGAGGCAGGCGGAAUUCGUGGUGUAGCGGUGAAAUGCUUAGAUAUCACGAAGAACUCCGAUUGCGAAGGCAGCCUGCUAAGCUGCAACUGACAUUGAGGCUCGAAAGUGUGGGUAUCAAACAGGAUUAGAUACCCUGGUAGUCCACACGGUAAACGAUGAAUACUCGCUGUUUGCGAUAUACGGCAAGCGGCCAAGCGAAAGCGUUAAGUAUUCCACCUGGGGAGUACGCCGGCAACGGUGAAACUCAAAGGAAUUGACGGGGGCCCGCACAAGCGGAGGAACAUGUGGUUUAAUUCGAUGAUACGCGAGGAACCUUACCCGGGCUUAAAUUGCAGAUGAAUUACGGUGAAAGCCGUAAGCCGCAAGGCAUCUGUGAAGGUGCUGCAUGGUUGUCGUCAGCUCGUGCCGUGAGGUGUCGGCUUAAGUGCCAUAACGAGCGCAACCCUUGUUGUCAGUUACUAACAGGUUCCGCUGAGGACUCUGACAAGACUGCCAUCGUAAGAUGUGAGGAAGGUGGGGAUGACGUCAAAUCAGCACGGCCCUUACGUCCGGGGCUACACACGUGUUACAAUGGGGGGUACAGAGGGCCGCUACCACGCGAGUGGAUGCCAAUCCCCAAAACCUCUCUCAGUUCGGACUGGAGUCUGCAACCCGACUCCACGAAGCUGGAUUCGCUAGUAAUCGCGCAUCAGCCACGGCGCGGUGAAUACGUUCCCGGGCCUUGUACACACCGCCCGUCAAGCCAUGGGAGCCGGGGGUACCUGAAGUGCGUAACCGCGAGGAGCGCCCUAGGGUAAAACUGGU